rnacentral:piRNA from 1 species
CAAGAAGUAGUUUAAUUAGAAUACCAG